rnacentral:rRNA from 1 species
UGGAGGGCAAGUCUGGUGCCAGCAGCCGCGGUAAUUCCAGCUCCAAUAGCGUAUAUUAAAGUUGUUGCAGUUAAAAAGCUCGUAGUUGAAUUUCGGGAUCAAUACGUCGGUCGUGCCUUCGGUACGNACUGGNGUCGUUGAUUNCUCCCUUCUGAUGAAACAUGAUGUCAUUAAUUUGAUGUUGUGGGGAGUCAGGACUGUUACUUUGAAAAAAUUAGAGUGUUUAAAGCAGGCAAACGCUUGAAUACAUUAGCAUGGAAUAAUGAAAUAGGACGUUCGAACCUAUUUUGUUGGUUUCUAGGUACAACGUAAUGAUUAAUAGGGAUAGUUGGGGGCAUUAGUAUUCAAUUGUCAGAGGUGAAAUUCUUGGAUUUAUUGAAGACUAACUACUGCGAAAGCAUUUGCCAAGGAUGUUUUCAUUAAUCAAGAACGAAAGUUAGGGGAUCGAAGACGAUCAGAUACCGUCGUAGUCUUAACCAUAAACUAUGCCGACUAGGGAUCGGAUGAAGUUAAUUUUUUAAUGACUCAUUCGGCG